UUAAUACUAAGCAAAUUGAUAAUUUAAAUGAUGUUAUGUGUGAAAGAAUUGUUGGGAGGAAUCUCUGCCACGAAUGGUAUGAUACAGAUUCAACAAUGGCAAUCUUGUAUAAUGGCAGAGUUGAAAAACUUAAAAAGACAACGAAAGGCAUCUUUUAAACAAUUUCUUACUGGGCUACAGAUAAAACUUAUACAGAAGGUGUUGACCAUAGCAUGAAAAAAUUCUAUCUGUUGCUGAUUUUGUAUCAGGUGAGUUAGUAUUUUCGUAAUUUCUUAUGCUAUCUUAUUGUGGAACUUGCAAAAUUAAUAUACAGCAAGAAUUAGAACAUACAAAAUAAAGGUUAAACAAGUAGUGGAAUUUUUGUUGUAAAUGUACUGCAAAUAGUGGAACUUGUGAUAUAAAUUUACAGGAAGUAGUGGAACUUGCAAAAUAUAUGUACAGCAAGUAGUGGAACUUGCAACAUAAACGUACAGCGAGUAGUGGAACUUGCAAAAUAUUUGUACAGCAAGUUGUGGAACAUGCAACAUAAACGUACAGCGAGUAGUGGAACUUGCAAUAUAUAAGUACAGCAAGUAGUGGAACUUGUAACAUAAAUCUACAGUGAGUAGUGGAACUUGCAAAAUAUAUGUACAGCAAGUAGUGGAACUUGCAACAUAAAUCUACAGCGAGUAGUGGAACUUGCAAAAUAUAUGUACAGCAAGUAGUAGAACUUGCAACAUAAAUGUACAGAAUUUUGCAGUUAGUGAAACUUGCAAAAUUAAUGUGCAGCAAGUAGUGGUACUUGCUACUUUUUUGCUAGACGGUUUUUGGCUUACCUUCACGUUUUGUCUAUCGUUAACAAUGAUUGUUAUAUAGUUUCAUUACUGGAAACUUAUCUCAUUAACUAAAAUCCAAAACACAUAAUUGUUGUUUGAAACCAUAUAUAAAUGUAUAAAAAAAUUUUUAGUCGGAGGGAGGAUUUGUCAUCUUCCUCAGCAAAUAUGAAGACUGAUGCAUCUUGUAAUACUACUACUCAAAUUAGGUCAGAAGGGGUAACCGCUACUCCCUUCUUCAAAAAUAAGUACUCUGAUGCAUCUUGUAAUACUACUACUGUAAUAUGGUCAGAGGGGGAAGGAUACGCCCUUUUCUCAUGUCUUUGUGUACACCACUACUUUUUGUUUUAAAGAUGUAAAAAAAAGUUAUUCAUGAUCUAUUGGAUGUAUAUUUUGAAAUAAAGAUAAAAAUAAUUAUGAGAA